UGCAGUCGAGCGGAUGAAGGGAGCUUGCUCCUGGAUUCAGCGGCGGACGGGUGAGUAAUGCCUAGGAAUCUGCCUGGUAGUGGGGGAUAACGUCCGGAAACGGGCGCUAAUACCGCAUACGUCCUGAGGGAGAAAGUGGGGGAUCUUCGGACCUCACGCUAUCAGAUGAGCCUAGGUCGGAUUAGCUAGUUGGUGGGGUAAAGGCCUACCAAGGCGACGAUCCGUAACUGGUCUGAGAGGAUGAUCAGUCACACUGGAACUGAGACACGGUCCAGACUCCUACGGGAGGCAGCAGUGGGGAAUAUUGGACAAUGGGCGAAAGCCUGAUCCAGCCAUGCCGCGUGUGUGAAGAAGGUCUUCGGAUUGUAAAGCACUUUAAGUUGGGAGGAAGGGCAGUAAGUUAAUACCUUGCUGUUUUGACGUUACCAACAGAAUAAGCACCGGCUAACUUCGUGCCAGCAGCCGCGGUAAUACGAAGGGUGCAAGCGUUAAUCGGAAUUACUGGGCGUAAAGCGCGCGUAGGUGGUUCAGCAAGUUGGAUGUGAAAUCCCCGGGCUCAACCUGGGAACUGCAUCCAAAACUACUGAGCUAGAGUACGGUAGAGGGUGGUGGAAUUUCCUGUGUAGCGGUGAAAUGCGUAGAUAUAGGAAGGAACACCAGUGGCGAAGGCGACCACCUGGACUG
rnacentral:rRNA from 1 species